rnacentral:rRNA from 1 species
UCAGGCUUUGCUUGGUGGUGAGAGUGGCGGACGGGUGAGUAACGCGUGAGUAACCUGCCUCUCAGAGGGGGAUAACGUUCUGAAAAGAACGCUAAUACCGCAUGACAUCUUUAUUUCGCAUGGAGUGAAGAUCAAAGGAGCAAUCCGCUGAGAGAUGGACUCGCGUCCGAUUAGCCAGUUGGCGGGGUAACGGCCCACCAAAGCGACGAUCGGUAGCCGGACUGAGAGGUUGAACGGCCACAUUGGGACUGAGACACGGCCCAGACUCC